GUUUCAGCAGCCGCGGUAAUACGUAGGUGGCAAGCGUUGUCCGGAAUUAUUGGGCGUAAAGCGCGCGCAGGUGGUUUCUUAAGUCUGAUGUGAAAGCCCCCGGCUCAACCGGGGAGGGUCAUUGGAAACUGGGAAACUUGAGUGCAGAAGAGGAUAGUGGAAUUCCAAGUGUAGCGGUGAAAUGCGUAGAGAUUUGGAGGAACACCAGUGGCGAAGGCGACUGUCUGGUCUGUAACUGACACUGAGGCGCGAAAGCGUGGGGAGCAAACAGGAUUAGAUACCCCCGUAGUCC
rnacentral:rRNA from 1 species